AUAACUAGUUGCUCCAUAAUUUGUUGACUCUACUAGCUUACAAUAAGUUGACACAGCAUUUUGGUGAGGAGAGUAAUUAAACUGAUCAUACUUCAGUAACCUUUACUUGAGAAGUAUGAGUGUCUCCACACCCUCCCAACAGUUGGUGGCGGUAAUGCACCAUGCUGGAUGCCAACCGCCAAUACAAAUCAACGAAGAAGAGAUUGCACAUGCGCAGUUCCUCCUGAGACGUUGGAUUUGAACCAUCACGCGGCAAAAGAACGUUUGUCUGGAUUUGGUUUGAAGCGUUAAUGCAGAGACUGCCAAGCAGGAAGUGCACUUCACGCUCCCGCUCAAGGUUCUGUCAGAGUUCUUUCGCUUAACCAGCAAAAACCUCAAAAUCGAGUUUUUCAAAGAACUGGACAAAUACACUCCUCGAUGUCUUGACAUUUUCAAGUCCAGGGGUGGAUGUACCGGCCAGAUACUUAAGGCGUAUUUGCAUCAUCAAAUCGCACUGGGGAAUACAGAUGUUACUGCUUAGUGAACAGCAGUCCUCCGUGGCCUUCCCAUCCUCCUUGGAGAUGAGAACAAAGACUUCUUCAAGACAUACUUUGACUGUGAUGAACCGGAACUGGCCAACACCUCCAUUGAGAUCCUAACAGUAAUCCCGGAAGGUACCCCACCUCAAGGAACACACCAACAUUUUGGGUUUUUAGCUUAUUCACCAGAAUUCCCCAGAGUUAGAUAAGUCCAUACAUACCAUUUUCAUCUCUGUGUGUCCUGUAACUUUGUCUGACGCACCCACCGCUAGCUUAGC